UUUCCCCAGUUAGGACCGAGCCUAUGAACAACAGUGAGACUGACAAACGCAGGCAGCAGCACUGGACAGCCAUGCAGGCAAAGUUAAGACAGGGCCUUUAAACAACAGUGAGACUGACUACCACAGAAGGCAGCACUAGACAGCCAUUGCCGGCAAAGGAAUCAUAUUUUAUGCAGUGCUGGUGAAAUGGACAAUCAGACAUGUCAGCUGUUGUUUCAUUGGAUGUCUUGUGGAAUCUGUCCAUUCUUUUGAAAUAAUGUGGAUUGUCCUGCAUUUCCAGGCCUGCUCCGAGAUUAAAUAGGUAUGAUGUCGGGCUCCUAUUGCACAGCAAUACUGUAGCCUACCCAUACUGUAAAAUAUUUGUUAUAUUUACAGGUCUAUUUUACUUUCGAGCAUGGUUGGCUAUUG